GAAUCUUGCGCAAUGGGCGAAAGCCUGACGCAGCCAUGCCGCGUGAAUGAUGAAGGUCUUAGGAUUGUAAAGUUCUUUCGCCCGUGACGAUGAUGACGGUAACGGCGGAAGAAGCCCCGGCUAACCUCGAGCCAGCAGCCGCGGUAUUACGAAGGGGGCUAGCGUUGUUCGGAAUUACUGGGCGUAAAGCGCGCGUAGGCGGUUUUGCAAGCCAGAGGUGAAAUGCCUGAGCUCAACUUAGGAAUUGCCUUUGGGACUGCGAGGCUUUGAGGACUGGAGAGGUGAGUGGAAUUCCCAGUGUAGAGGUGAAAUUCGUAGAUAUUGGGAAGAACACCAGUGGCGAAGGCGGCUCACUGGCCAGUUUCUGACGCUGCAGCGCGAAAGCGUGGGGAUCAAACAGG
rnacentral:rRNA from 1 species